CAGCUCCUCAGACUGAUUUCUUGGGCAGACUGGCUUAGUGGGUGAACCUGCCUGACCUCCCUGUGCUGCACACAAAUGGAAAGAAUUCGGUCAUCAGGACAGCAAUACACCUGCUUACAGCUUUGAUAUUCCCUGCUUCUUCCUCACAAGUGGAUACUGCAAACUGUUGAUCAAAUUACUCCAGAUGAGCACCCUCAUCUCAGCACCAGCAAAGCCAAUCUGGUUGCUCAGGCAAGGAAGGCAAUGCAGCCUGAUAGUUGUGUCAUGCUGUGAGAAGAGAUCCUCCUGUGGAAAAAAAAUCCUCCAGCUGCCCCUACAAUGGAGAUGGCCCUGCAGGAGGCAUGGUUUGUGACUGAGGAGGAUGGAAUUACAGAUGGAGAUUUUUUCAGCUGCAAUAAGAAAGAAAUAUGGUUGCAGAAGAAUGUGUGUACAUCUUGAUCCAGCUGAUACAGAAAUUGAGCUCCUUGGUGACCUUCUGUGCCACAAGCUCUUUCUGUGUGGAGGGAGAUGGAUUUCCUGGUGUUACUGAGUGACAUCUGAGAGUCUCCCUCUUGGUUGAGAGCUAGCAACCACGUCAUGGGAACAGGCAGUAUCAGGAGGAUGGAAAUUUUCCAGAUGUCUUAGACUUCCUUUCAGCAACUGGAGUCUGGGGUCUUCUGCUCGUGGGCCAUCAGCUCUCACUGCAUGGCUCAUAGACCUACAUCAUCCCAUUGUGAGAUGUCUCACCCAGCAGGAGGAACCUACAGGCAUUCCUACCUGGAUAUAAUCUGAGAUUUGGAGCACCAGGAGGGCACUACCCACUGGAUGCCCAGAGGGAAAGAGCUCCACAGUCAUCACUGGACCUCCAGAAAAGGACCGGACUUUACUGUAGGAUCACUGCUUUGAGAGAACCACAUCCAUCACUCCAACAGGACUGCAACCACCAUUUAAUCACACUUCUACCACCAUCCUGACUCAGUCAGUUUAAGAGAGUGUUUCUGUAUUAUUGCCUUUUUCUUAAUUUUCCUGUUAAAUAGUAAUUCUGACUUGGGAUCUCCAACUGUUUGGCUUUCACACUAGUACAAGGCUUUCACAUGUUACAGAGAUCCACCACCAGCAGCCUGAUUUGUUUCCCUGAGCAUUUCCUUGGGGUUCAGUACAACAGUACUUUCAACCAAUAAGCAAACCUCUGCAGUGGCAGGACUUGUCUGGCAUGUUUAAAUUUUUGAAACAUGUCUGGGAGAACGGCUGCCAGUGUAAGAAUUAAAAAUGGAAACACUGGUUGUUUCAUCCUUACUACUCCAAAAUGACUGAAAGUCACCCUUUUCCAGCAUGUUUGGUUUUUACAAUGGGCUGCAGUCUGAGAGUAAGUGUGUAGUCUGCACACUCUCCUAUAGAUAGUUGUUAUUAGAGUGUUUUUAUCAUGCUGAUGGCCCAGCCUGAGCCCUACAAACAAAUGCAUGGUGGAAGAUGAUGGUUGCUCCAUGUGCAGUCUCCAAAGGCUGUAGGACAGCAGCUGGCCAGGAUGAGCUGAGCAUGAGGUGAGAGAGCUGAGGUUGUGUAAAAAGCAUUUGUCACAGUGGAGCAGCUCCCAAGCCAUUUUGUGCCAUUUGUGAGAGGCUGUGAGGGGUUUUAAUUUUACUUUAAGUGGAAGUCUGUUAGCCUUUUACACAACCAAAUCAGCUGGUGAACUCACAGGCAGACACACAUUGACUGAAACAGCAUGAAGACAUUUCCUGCUACUGUCCUGCCCUUGAAUGCCAAAACUUUGGGCCUACACCUAAACUAAUAGGUGAAGUCUUUGGGAGUAUUAUAAUAAAGCCAUAAGUAUCUUCCAAAUAUACUUCAUCUUCCAGUCCUCUGUCUUUCCUGGCCCUCCCACCCCAGGGAAAAGAGUUUCCUCUGUGUAUGUUGUUUCCCUUUAGGCUGGCAGGGAGGUACUGGUACUGCCAGGUGGUUCAGCAGGGCAGAAGACCAUAGAGGAGCAGGGGUGAUAAAAGAUAUGGCUCCACAGGUCACUGAAUAUCCUGUGGUGAAGGUGUUUGUGUCUCUCACCCUCUCUCCCAGCUCCACCUGCUCCACUCCAUGUCUCUCACUGCUUUGCCUCAGGCUCCUUUGGUGCUCACUGGACCUGCAUAGAAACUGAUUUAAGGAGUGAUCUGAAAGCCUCUCUGGUUUUAUGCUGUGAGAAAUUCAAUUGGCUGCUGAAGCUGGCACCUGGCAGAUCUCAGCAAGAGCAGCAGGAACAAGAGAAAGAAGAAAUGCAGAGAAGAGGGACAGAGUUCUGUCUCAGCUGUGACCAAAGACUGCUGCCCAUGAAACUGCAAGCACAGCCUGAGCAGAAAGGCUGAUCCAGGACAGAGCUUCGGAUCCUGGAGGGUUUGGAAUGCAAGACAUCUAAAUCCCACACUUCACAAAGAUAACAAACUCUACAGGCUAUCACAAAUCAACCUCCAGUGUCUAGGGUCACUUGUUUCUCUGUAGAUGAAAUAAAAGUGGAAGGUAGUCUCUUCAAGAUGUUUUUAGGACUUGAUAAUGAACUAUCAAGUGUUGCUUGGUUACAGUCCCAUACAUCAGAAGUUGUAUUUACACUUUAGAAGAGAUAACAACCUUUCCCUGUGUAAUAUUUGAUGUAUUAGAAUGUACACCAUAUUAAUUUCUUUGGCUUUCCCAAGCAAAUCAUUGGGCUGGCUGAUUUUGUCUGCCCACAUCCUAGGUCAGGAUAGUUGCAUUUAGGUUAUGCAUGUUGAUUUAUUUUAUGUUAUGUGAAUACAGAAGAAUGGGAAAAUAUUUAUUGAUUUAAGAGAGUUUCCACCCUGCUCCAAGUUUACAUGUGAACCUGAAAAGUUCUGCAUAAGACCUCCUGUUUUGUGUGAAGGUAUAAAAUGUGAAGAUUUGCUAAAAUUAUACACAAACAAAAGCCACACAUCUAAUUAAUAUUUCCAAGUAUCACAGCUAAAUUUAUAUUUCUGAGGGGAUGAAACUUGCUCACCAAAGUGCUUUCCCUUCCAGUGAGUGAGACAUCAGCCUUUAUCUAAGCAGCAGUCUUUGUGGCGUCAGAGGGAAUUUUGUCUGGUUUAGAGGAUCUUUGCAGAAGCUCUUCAUCCUAUUUUUGAAUGCUACAGGUUACCAGGACUGUGUUAGGAUUCUGAUAUGCUGAGUGCUGUCUUUCACAGCCACGACUUCCUGAAAUGUCUUUCUCCAAGUCUUCAGUAGAUGUCUGUAGAGAGAAAUGAACUGACAGGGGAGAGAGAGAAAAAGAAAAGAAAAAAGAGAGAGAGAGAGAGAAAAAGAAGGAACUUCACCACUGUGGGGUUUUGGUGGUUCUUUUCACCUUUUUUGCAAUAUGAAAAAAUGAGUUCUGGUAUCUCCUCCCUGAAAGACCUAAUGGCUGAAAACCCAGAGCAGGGAGAAACCCGGAGAGGUUUGUGAGGCCCCUGUUUGCUCUCUAUAAAAUACUAAAAUCUUACUGGCAGAAGAAUGGAUUUAACCUUACAGGAACUCAGCAGUGCUUUUGGCACUGUCUUCCCUGAGGUCUUUGGGUUACCAGAUAAAUCAGUGCACACAAGAGCAAAACAGCAAAGUGAAAUUUAAUCCCUACCUGCAUGUCCGAGCAGCGGGAGGCUCUGCUGGGUGGUUUCAGCCCCGCAGUCACGUCCGCCAGGGCGAAGAGCAGAUAACACGUGUUUAUUUGAUAGCCCAACCACAAUGUGCUCUCAUUAGCUGAGAAUGAUUCACGAGGUCUGAGGGGACUUUUCCAGCUCUUUAUAGGAGCUAAACCCAUGCCUGAAGUACAUGUGAACCCUGGUCUCAUCUGAAAAACCAUCUUCCUUUUUCCACGCCUGCGACUCUUCUUGCUGCAAUUGCAUUCAUUAUUUUCACUGGGUUUCCCAGCUGGUGUGCCCAGCACAGGACUGGACAGCACAACAGGAGAUGCUGGGGGGAUAGGAACGCACUCCUAGGGAAUUGCCCCCUCCACAAUUCCCUAGACCCCCCCCCUUCCCUAGUUUGCAGCCCAGGAUUCCUUUCUAGAUCCUGCUUUCUGAAAAUGCCAAGGAGUGCUGUGAUGAACCAGGGAGCCCAACCUCCUCCUGCUGAGGUGCCCACCAUCCUGCUGCCCCAAGGGCCUUGCAAAAUAAUAAAAUGAAAAAAAAAUCAACAGGAUAUGUUUUACAGAUCAAUAGAAUAAUUUAAUAUUUCUAAUCACAAAUAGGUACAGAAUAUCAAGGAUCCUUAGGAAAUUCCUAAUAAUUAACUGGUCUACAUUUCCAGACUUAAAAAAUUGUAUAUGGAUUCUGAUUUUUGAAGACAUUGUGAGUUGCACAUUACUAAAGCUAUAAAGCAUUUUGCAAGGUUUAAUAGGUAUGUGUAAUUACCCCAGAAAAAUGGAUACUGCAAUAAAAAGACCUUGAAAAUCUAUUAGUAUAACCAUAGAUCCCAAUCUACAUUCUACAAUAAGCCUACAUUCUACAAUUCAGAUGGGAGUUCAUCUACAAAGCUGGCAUGUCAAUAAGGAGAAAACAUUAUAGAAGUCUUAUAAUAGUAUUUUUCCUUUAAUAUGGUAGCUUCCAGAAGUCAGCAGUAACUUGAAUCUGCCAUUGCCUGAACUAUAAAACCAGUUUAUUUGAGAAAAACCUGUCAAAUAAUUGUUGUUUUUCUGGAGGUGGAUAGAAUAUAAAUGUGUGGGUAAAUUUUGUAAUAUUUGUCUUUUGCUAAAACAUACCAAACAUUUGGUUCCCUCCCCUGAUACAGUGAUAGACUGAGGGCAUCCCUCUCACAGAGACAGCAAAUUGAGGAAGUAAACUGAGUCUGAACACUGCCAAGGGUAAGGCUGUGACAGCCAACUGGGAUAGGGGAAUUCAGUGUACAUGUAAAUACUUUUUGACAGAAAGGAAAAUGUUACCAAUGUUUCCCUCUUGGAAGAACAUGCUGGCAAAGAACGGGAACUUUAGUGACACAUUAUGAAAAGCAAACAUGGAAUUAAGGAAGAAAUUAUCAAGUUGAAGCAGUAAAACUGGGAAAGUGAAUGACAAUUUCAUAACAAUGAUCAACUGUGUUUUGCCUUGCAGGGAAAAAACAUGAUAAUUUGGAGGUUGUUGAAGGGUUGGAAAGCUGUUUUCUAUUGAAUGUAUACGACUUUUAUACUCACUGAUUUCUCAGAAUCCAAAAUGUUGCACAGUUAUUGAAGCUCCUGGACAGAUAAAAGAAAUUACAUGCCCUGAACUAAGUACUGGUCAUUGUCUCUGGAAAUCAUGGAGGACAUGAAUAUGUGAGAGGUGUAUUUGGCACUGCUCUGUGUAAAAGGAGUUCUGUGUUUCCUGAGUUUGUAUUUCAGGGUUUGAGCAGAUGAUCACAUCAUUAGCUCUCACCCCCUGUCGAGCAGCAUGCGGUGUUUCCCUGCUUGCUCUCCUCAUGCAUGUGCAUCCCUAUGCACCCCCUGUGCAUCC